GAUGAACGCUGGCGGCGUGCCUAAUACAUGCAAGUCGAGCGAAUGGAUUAAGAGCUUGCUCUUAUGAAGUUAGCGGCGGACGGGUGAGUAACACGUGGGUAACCUGCCCAUAAGACUGGGAUAACUCCGGGAAACCGGGGCUAAUACCGGAUAACAUUUUGAACCGCAUGGUUCGAACUUGAAAGGCGGCUUCGUCUGUCACUUAUGGAUGGACCCGCGUCGCAUUAGUUAGUUGGUGAGGUAACGGCUCACCAAGGCAACGAUGCGUAGCCGACCUGAGAGGGUGAGCGGCCACACUGGGACUGAGACACGGCCCAGACUCCUACGGGAGUCAGCAGUAGGGAAUCUUCCGCAAUGGACGAAAGUCUGACGGAGCAACGCCGCGUGAGUGAUGAAGGCUUUCGGGUCGUAAAACUCUGUUGUUAGGGAAGAACAAGUGCUAGUUGAAUAAGCUGGCACCUUGACGGUACCUAACCAGAAAGCCACGGCUAACUACGUGCCAGCAGCCGCCGUAA
rnacentral:rRNA from 1 species